UACGUAGGGACCAAGCGUUGUUCGGAUUUACUGGGCGUAAAGGGCGCGUAGGCGGCGUGUUAAGUCAGCUGUGAAAUCUCCAAGCUUAACUUGGAACGGUCGGCUGAUACUGAUGUGCUAGAGUGCAGAAGGGGCAAUCGGAAUUCUUGGUGUAGCGGUGAAAUGCGUAGAUAUCAAGAGGAACACCGGAGGUGAAGACGGGUUGCUGGGCUGACACUGACGCUGAGGCGCGAAAGCUAGGGUAGCAAACGGG
rnacentral:rRNA from 1 species